GAUGAACGCUGGCGGCGUGCCUAAUACAUGCAAGUCGAGCGAAUGGAUUGAGAGCUUGCUCUUAUGAAGUUAGCGGCGGACGGGUGAGUAACACGUGGGUAACCUGCCCAUAAGACUGGGAUAACCCCGGGAAACCGGGGCUAAUACCGGAUAACAUUUUGAACCACAUGGUUCGAAAUUGAAAGGCUGCUUCGGCUGUCACUUAUGGAUGGACCCGCGUCGCAUUAGCCAGUUGGUGAGGUAACGGCUCACCAAGGCAACGAUGGGUAGCCGACCUGAGAGGGUGAUCGGCCACAGUGGGACUGAGACACGGCCCAGACUCCUACGGGAGGCAGCAGUAGGGAAUCUUCCGCAAUGGACGAAAGUCUGACGGAGCAACGCCGCGUGAGUGAUGAAGGCUUUCGGGUCGUAGAACUCUGUUGUUAGGGAAGAACAAGUGCUAGUUGAAUAAGCUGGCACCUUGACGGUACCUAACCAGAAAGCCACGGCUAACUACGUGCCAGCAGCCGCCGUAA
rnacentral:rRNA from 1 species